AACAUGGAGAAUAAAGGAAUAUGCUGUAACCAAUUCGGAACCUAAUACUUUGAUAUUUACAAAUAUGUAUAUCCCUGUUAUUAUGUGGCUGUUCAGAUUGAGAGAAGAGAGUUGAGGGGAGCACCGGUGGCUGCCGCGCUACAGUACCCGCGGGUACUGUUCACAGGCUAGGGCUGCAAGGGCACGAGAGGGCCAGCCGCAGGGCCUUUGCCCACGGCCGGGCAAGAGGGAAGGGUUUUCCUUCUUAAUUCUUGCUUGAUUAGAUUGAUACACCUCCUCUCCUUAUAUAGAGAGGUUUACUUAACUUACAAGCAAGGCUUACUUGAUCCCUAAGCAAACGACCCUUAUCUCUAAUUAACCCUUACACUAAGGGGCUAUAUAGCCAACCCAGACCCAAUAGGCCUGGGCCUCUUGCGUAUCCUUAACACUACAUCCCACCUAGACAUGCAGCUCGUCCUCGAGCUACAACCUAACCAACUUAUAAUGAUGACUCGACUUGACACAAACUAACACCUAAAAAUAAGCCUUUUACAUCUCGGCUUAUUUUAGGCCUACCCCUACAGGAUGCCCUACGAGGGGGCGGCCUCCACAGCCCUUCUGGCCACGCCUCCACCGUCGUCCUAGGGGUUCCCAUUACCCAGGUCAAGUUCCCGGCGGCACCUUCGCUGCUCCUGGCCUGGCUCGUCGACUCGUCGGCACCCAUCUAAACGACGGCGGGCACCCAAACCUAUGUACCGCCGCUGCCCUCUACUGGGGCGGGGCCUGCACACGGGGGCAUUUUCCCUUCGGGCACCCUGUACGGUGGCGUUGACAGGCCCCUGUUCCACGGCAGCAGCCAGCCUCGGCAUACGGGGACGCUUCAAGGAGUGCAGCACAUGCUUCUGUUCCUGAGCAGCCCCCGCCACAGUUCUACAAGCUUGAGUUCCAGACGUAGAGAUGCGGGCUUUCCUCGUCGGGCCUCAUGCGCCGCAGUUCCACCAGCCCCUGCCGCCGCCAACGACGACUUUUCAGCCGGCCUUGCUGGCGCCGCCCCUGCCCUUGACGUCGCCGGAUGUUGUGGCGGCGGCUAGGGCUGCCGUUGAGGAGAGAGAUGGCAGCUGCCGCGCUACAGUACCCGCGGAGCUACAGUACCCACGGUUACUGUUCGCAGUGGGUGUUACGCGGCAGCUAGGGCUGCGAGGGCGAGAGAAGGCCGGCCAGGGGCCUUGCCCACAGCCAGGCAAGAGGGCAGGGUUUCCUUCUUAAUUCUUGGUUGAUUAGAUUGAUACAUCUCCUCUCCUUAUAUAGAGAGGUUUACUUGACUUACAAGCAAGGCUUACUGACCCCUAAGCAAGCGACCCUUAUCUCUAAUUAACCCAAUAACACUAAUGGUCUAUGGCACCAACUCAGACCCAAUAGGUCCCUUACGUACUCUAACACUACACCCCACCUGAGCUGCAACCUAACCAACUUAUAAUGAUGACUCGACUCAACACACUUAAGAACAAGCCUUUUACAUCUCGGCUUAUUUUAUUAUUCUCAACCUGAAAUGGACUAGGAUGCUUUAUUUGAGACUCCUGCACGUAAGGUGGACACCAUCUGCAUGCCGGACCUGCACAGGUACAGCCACCUGGAUCCCAUGGAUACCUUUUUUUUCUCUAACAGCGCAGGAGAACUGCGCGUCAUUUCAUUAAGGUAGAAACAGGUACACAGGUCCAAGAGACCCAACACCCACACACACCCCACAACUCACACACCCCCACACACACUGGACUUUGGAUUUACAUAAUUACCACAUCAAGAACAUGAAAACGACCAAAAGUCUCCAAACCCUAAGCCCCAUGAGGCAGCGACCUAUAAAUAACUUCCUGGAGUUUGGCGGCCCCAGCCGAGCACCAAAGCCCUCCCUCUGAGCUAAUUGCCGCAAGGACUUCAUGAACACUUGGCCUCUUCUUAUCGAAGACACAAGUAUUACGAUGCUUCCAAAUCUCCCAAGUCACUAAGAUAAUCAAGGAGUUGAGGCCUUUACGCACUUCCUUGGGGACAGCAGCAGAAGAUCUCUUCCACCAUCCUAAGAAACGAGUCACAGAUGGCUGUGGUGCCAACUGCAACAGCCCCAAAUGUUGAAAAACCAGGGACCAAACUUGGCGAGCAAAUACGCAGCCCACUAGCAAGUGAUUAAUUGUCUCAUCCUCCUGAUCACAUAAUGGACAUUUCUCUGGAUGGGGCAGGUUCCUCUUUGCUAAACGAUCAACUGUCCAAACCCGGUUGUGAAAUACCAACCAUAUGAAAAACUUGCAUCGCGGAGGAGCCCAGGUUUUCCAGAUUCUUCUCCAUGAGCCAAACUUGAUGGAUCCCUCGAAGAAGGCUGCAUAGGCUGAUUUACUGCUAUAGGAACCAUCCUGUGUUAAUUUCCAUCUAAAUUGGUCUGGAGUUUCUGGGUGCAAGACGAGACCAUCCACAAUAUCCCAAAUCUGGAAGAACUCCAGUAGUCCAGCAUGACCUCGACUGUACGAGCUCCCUUGACAUCCUGAGUCCAACUUCUAUUAUGGAGAGCUUGUGCCACAGUCCUUCUUUUGGCUGUACGUUUUGGAACUGCCUUGAACAAGUUAGGUGCCAUUUCAGCCAUGGUAUGCCCAUCCAACCAUCUAUCUGUCCAGAAAAAUAUUUUUUCCCCAUUUCCGACUAUGGCAUCAACUGCAACAUGGAAGACAUCCCGGGUCUUAUUAGGAACAACAAUAGGAAGGCCAGCCCAAGGCCUUUCCUCAUCUGUCCUCUAGGCCCACAGCCACCUAAUUUUAAGUGCGCAGCCAAGCAAUUCUAGGUUAUGAAUCCCAAGGCCUCCGUAUUCAAGUGGCCUUUGUACCUUCUCCCAGGCAACCAGGCAAUUGCCACCAUUGGCCUGCUGGUGGCCCUUCCAGAGAAAACCUCGCCGCUUUUUAUCAAUGGCUUUAAUCACCCAUUUUGGUAGGUCCAAGGCAAUUAAGUGAUAUAUCGGGACAGCCGUCAGCACAACCUUCACCAGUACCAACCGUCCGGCCCUGUUCACAAGGGAAGCUUUCCAUCCAGGGAGAUAAUCUGCCACCUUAUCAACUAAAGGUAGAAACACCUCCUUAGUUGGUUUUCCGAUGGAGAGUGGGAGGCCAAGAUAUGUGCAAGGAAAAGUCUUUGUAGAGCAUGAGAGAAUAUUUGUCGUGAGCGCCAGCUGCUCAUCAGUACAGUGAAUAGGAGAAACAGAACUUUUAGCCAAGUUAAUUCUGAGACCAGAGGCAUGGCCAAACAAGUCCAGUAUGUGCCUCAUAGCGAUCAAAUCCAAGUUGUAGGGCCUCAAAAAUACUACUGCAUCAUCAGCAUAGAAGGAAACCCGAUGAUGUGCUUGCUGAACAGCUAGAGGCUGCAACAAACCCAUCGAAGUGGCAAUAUUGACCAUAGAGUUCAGGACAUCCAUAACUAGAAUAAACAGCAUUGGAGACAACGGGUCUCCCUGCCUUAGGCCGCGGUGGUGGAAAAUAGUGACCCCGGGUUCUCCAUUGACCAAGAUCUGUGUCGAAGAGGUAGACAGGAUUAAGCAAAUGAGGUCUCGCCACCGCUGACCAAACCCCACCUUCUGCAUAAUCUCCAGGAGGAACGACCAAGAAACAGAGUCAAACGCCUUGGAAAUGUCCAGCUUAAGAAGGAUAUGCGCCUCUUUCUUCUUAUGCAGAGAUUUAACCAUUUGCUGAACCAACAUAAAGUUGUCAUGUAUUCUCCUCCCCCGCACAAAAGCGCUCUGGUUUGCAGAGACCAAGGAAGGCAAUAGAGGAGCUAACCGAUUAGCCAAAAGCUUAGUCACCAAUUUGGCAAAACUGUGAAUAAGACUUAUAGGCCGAAAGUCCUUCACUUCAACAGCAUCCACUUUCUUAGGCAGUAGGGUAAUGUAAGCCGUGUUCAGGAGCCGAAAUUUGAAAACGUGGCCUUGCUGGAUGGCGUCUAACGCCAUCAGCACAUCCCCCUUAAUAAUGCUCCAGCAGGACUUAUAAAACCUCCCUGUGAAUCCAUCCGGCCCUGGAGCCUUGUCCAAGGGCAUAUCCUUUAUAGUAUCCCAUACUUCCUCCUCAGAGAAUUGAACAUCCAACUCAGAUAAAUUAUGGUGCUGAAUAUCCAAGGCCUCUAAAUCAAGAGUGUAUUCCCUCUCUUCAGCCCUGCCCAGAAUGCUAUCAUAGAAAUCAUCCACUGCCUUCUGCUUUUCGUCCUGUGAGACAACCACCUGAUUCCCAACUUGUAAUUUGGAGAUGAAGUUCUUCUUUUUUCUAUAUCUAGCCUGUUGGUGGAAGAAAGCAGUGUUAGCGUCACCUUCCUGGAUAUAGAGGAUCCUAGAACGCAGCCGCGCAAUGGUUCUCUCUAAGGAAGCCAAACCUAGGCAGUGAAGUUUUAAUUUCUUUCUCAGCCAAUCCUCAUGAUCAGAGAGCGCCCUAAAGUCUCUCUCUAUUUCCAAACGAUGAAGGAUCUCCUUGGCCAAUUCUAGCUGAGCUUUGAUAUUCCCAACUUUCCAUUGCCCCCAUUUUUGCAACCCCUUGCUGAGACGCUGCAGCUUAAUGAAAAAGCGCUCUACCGCACAAUUAGAUUGUACCGGAGCCUCCCAAUUCUGUUUCACAGCAUCAAGAAAACCAGGUAUUUUGGUCCAGAAGCUCUCAAAAUGGAAUCGACGCUUGCCGGUAGUGCUGACCUUCAAACCAAGAAUGAGUGGACAGUGAUCAGAGACUCCCGCUGUUGUGCUUUGCAGUACAGCAUCAGGAAAAAUAUUUUCCAAAUCUCCACAACAAAAAGCCCGAUCUAGCCUGACCAAAGUAGGCCGGCGGGACCAGCCCGGGCGCGGAGGGGCGGUAUUCUCGUCUGGUGCUACGCGUACUGACCCGGAGGGGUGGCAGAAGGCGCUUUCUCGCGGGGCUCGGCGGCGGCAACGGCGCGCAGCUCGUCCUCCACGCCGUCCAAUCCCGGCGGACCUCGUCGGCCGCUGUUUUAAUUGCUUCUCGCCCUCGCACACUGCGGCUCUUUGCCGCGAGAGGACCUGCUGUUUCCGCUGCCGAUCCCAAGGCCACCGUUCCUACGAGUGCCCUGCGCCGAUCAUUCGCGGGAACCGCGGGAACGCUCUUCCUCGUUUGGCUCCUGGCCGUGCCUUGGUGUGGCGCAGGGUGUCUCCGGCCAACGAAGCCGCGAGUGCCUCCCCCCCCCCCCCCCCCCCGCAACGGUCUCAACCGGCGGGGGUGUCUGGUGGCGCUCCUCGGCGUGCUCUUGCUCGGGUCUCUGUGUGGCGACGGAUGUCCCCGGCCAACGAGGCUACGAGCGCUGCCCCCUCGCAACGGUCUCAUCCGGCGGGUGUGGUUGAUGGCGCUCCUCAGGGUGCUCCUGGCCGUGUCCCCGUGUGGCGACGGGUCUCUCCGGCCACCGGCACUGGUUCGACGCAGGGCCCAAUGGAGGUUCAUGGCCAGGAUCAUCCUACGCGAGAUGGGCGGCAGCGCCGUCGUCGUCGUCCGUCCCGGUCCCAGGGUCGCUCAGGGCAGGAGCCGGGCUCUGUUACGGGUGCUAGUCCGCUGUCGGGUGCGACCUCAUUGGAGACGGCCCGUGAAGAUUUGGAGCCUCCACCGUGCAUCAUUGACUGGUCUGAUCAGGUGGCUAGGGCUGUGGACUUAGCAAACGCGGUGGUGGUGUCCGUGAUCAGUGAUGGUCCACUGGCCGCGGUCGAGGAUGUGGCAGCCAUGAUUGUGGCCAGAAUUGACGUUGUUGCCAGCUCCCUAGUGCUUCGUCAGGCUUCUUCCUCAAGCUACCUGCUGGUCCUCCCCGGCUUGCCCUUGGUGGAGCGUCUGGUUGGGCUGCGGCAGCCGAUCGGUUCGUCUGGGUUCAACUUCAGGCUUCUGUGCAAGCGUUGGAGUCGUUUGUCUGGUGCUGAUGGUCGUGUUCUGCCAUUCCUGAUUGAUAUUGAGCUACGCGAUCCCAUGGAUACCAUCUGGAGUUCUGGACGAAAGGGCUGCAUGAGUGUGGCCCCCAGGAAGUGUUCGCCACAGCGACCAACGAAGACGCCCUCAUGAUGGCCGGUAGCGGAAUGUGGAAACGCUAGGCAGUGCGCUCCCGCCGAUGACCCCAUGCCGUCUCCCCGCUGCAUGGCUGCUGGUCUGCAUCGCAAAGAGGGGUGGAGGGCUUUCGAUGGAGAACGACAAGGAGGGGAGUGCCUCUCCUACCGCCGCCGAAAACUUUGAGUUCGCCACCUGCGUGGCAAACAGCAUGCCCACCGCCCGUGGGAGCAACCACAGGCCCAAGAUCCCUGACGCAGCGGACAAAAUCAAGGUCCUCCGCACAGUGAAGAGCAACUUGGAGCUGCGAAGGGCUGCAGGGUUAAAUUAGCUGCAGAUCGCAUCACCCACACCUGCCGACGAGCCAGGAGGCCGCGCGCAGCAGGCCUGCAGACGCACUACCGCCGACUCCUGGCGGGUAAGCAUCUUACCCGUCGGCUCCGCCACGAUGUAUGUCGGCUGCUCGUUCUGUUGCGACUUCUCACCCUCGUCCUGGAUCUACUGGACGCCGAUGCCCCUAUAGAAGAUCCCAUCGGUGAAUGUGUGCUAGAGGCGCGACAUCCGUAGCUGAUGGAUGGGAACUAGGGCGGUUGCCUGCAUGCCUUGGAACGGUGGCGCCGUGGGGUGCACGCUUAGGAAAGGCAGCACCGUUGGCUGCACGUCCUGGAACGGCAGCAACGUCGUGCCGUAGCCUGUCAUCCCGUAAGGGUAGGCAGCAGCGGCUGCUGCAGAUGUCGAGGGCAGGGGGGCGCCGGCAAGGCCGGCUAAAAAGUCAGCGGCGGUGGCAGGGGCUGGUGGAACUGCGGCGCAUGAGGCCCGACGAGGAAAGCCCGCAUCUCGGCCACCGCCUGACCGAUGCCGGACACCAUGUGGCCGAGGUCGAAGACGGCCGCUGUCAGCUACUCAGGCAUCAUGGGCACCAACGGUGAAGACGCGGGCGCAGAUGGAGAUGGUGCAGGUGCGCCGGACUGCACCAGCGCCGUCGUGGUCGAUGGUGGGAGGGUUGCCGACGGCUGGGACAUGGGCAGCAGCAUGGUGGUGGUGGUAGGCGGCUAGGAAGAGGUGGGUGGAGUACGCGACAUCGUACCUAAGAUCUCAGAUACCAGAUGUUAUUAUGUGGCUGUUGGGAUUGAGAGAAGAUCUCUGAUACCAGAUGUUAUUAUGUGGCUGUUGGGAUUGAGAGAAGAUCUCUGAUACCAGAUGUUAUUAUGUGGCUGUUGGGAUUGAGAGAAGAGAGUUGAGGGGAGCACCAGCAGCUGCCGCGCUAAAGUACCCGCGGCGCUAGCGUACCUGCGGAUACUGUUCAUGGG
rnacentral:lncRNA from 1 species